UACGAAGGGGGCUAGCGUUGUUCGGAAUUACUGGGCGUAAAGCGCACGUAGGCGGAUCGAUCAGUCAGGGGUGAAAUCCCAGGGCUCAACCCUGGAACUGCCUUUGAUACUGUCGAUCUGGAGUAUGGAAGAGGUGAGUGGAAUUCCGAGUGUAGAGGUGAAAUUCGUAGAUAUUCGGAGGAACACCAGUGGCGAAGGCGGCUCACUGGUCCAUUACUGACGCUGAGGUGCGAAAGCGUGGGGAGCAAACAGG
rnacentral:rRNA from 2 species